rnacentral:tRNA from 1 species
ACUGAAGUAGCUCAGUUGGGAGAGCGUUAGCCUAUAGAUCGAAAAUUCCCUGGUUCGAUCCCGGGUUCGGGCA